UUGUUGAAAUAUAUGCUCGGGUGAUGAUAAACAAAGACACAUGUUUUGUAGGAUCUGAUGUAAAGAAAAAUGACGUUUUUCAAGAACCUUGUGCACAACUAUGAAUAUGCUACAACAAAACUCAAUGACCCCAGAACCGCUGACUGGUUUCUGAUGUCAUCACCAUGGCCAACUAUUGCCAUAGUAACAGCUUACCUAGUAUUUGUGUAUGGAGGACAAAAAUGGAUGAAAAAUCGUGAUGCCUACUCCUUAAAAGAUCUCAUGUUAUGCUACAACUUCUGUCUGGUUUUACUGAAUGCAUAUAUAUUCUAUGAGUACCUUGUGUCAUCUUGGUUAAAUCCAAACUUCUCUAAGGCUUGCCAACCAAUGGAUUACUCUAAUGAAGGUCUUCCUCUCAGGCUAGCUAAAGUGUCAUGGUGGUUCUAUUUUUCAAAGAUAAUAGAAUUGCUGGAUACUGUAUUUUUUGUCCUUCGUAAAAAGAACAACCAAAUAUCAUUCCUCCACGUGUACCACCACUCGACCAUGCCUUUGUUGUGGUGGACCGGAGUUACAUUUGUACCGGGGGGAGAGUCGUACCAGUGUGCCAGCAUCAAUAGUUUUAUCCACGUUCUGAUGUAUACCUACUACCUGCUGGCCGCCAUGGGGCCUCAGAUGCAGAAAUUCCUGUGGUGGAAGAAAUACAUGACUACACUCCAACUGGUACAGUUUUGGUGGAUCCUUGGGCACACUUUUCAAGCCAUGUAUGUUAAUUGUGACUUCCCAAUAGAGUUUGGUUACGCUCUUUUGGGGUAUGACUUCUCCCACAUUGUUCUGUUUUCACACUUCUACUACAAAACGUACACCAAGAAAGCCAGGGCAAAGAAGGUGGAGAGCAAUGGAGACGUCUCCAAUGGGAAAGCUGAAGAUCUGUCGGAAAAUGGGAGCACCAGGAAACGAAAAUAAACAGACAUGGAGGAUAAUUUAUCAUUUAUUUAUACUAUCGAAAUUUUAGAAUCCGUCCAAAAUUUAUCUGGUGCAGUAUUUUGAUAAAUGCAUCAUGAAAGAUACCCAAGUGUUUCAUUAAAUGCUACAUUCUUGGAUUAAAGUGAAAAGUUUUCAAUUACAAAUUAUUUUGUAUACAAACUUUUCUCCCCCUCGUAAACUUUUACAUCAAAUGUACUUACGCUGUAUGUAGUUUAGGCAAUGUGUGGUGUUUCAUAACAUUGAAUUUUUCAGAAUUCUAUUUAGAUAAAAAAAAAAAUCUACUUUUCAUCAUCCAUUGAUGUACUCCUGCUUUAUUAAAUGUUACAAUGACUAAUCAUGUGAUUUAAUCUUUUAAAAGUAUUGAUUGUCUUAUGCAUUUCCAAGAAAUAAUUUUGUAUACAAAAUAAUCAAUGUUGGAGUUCCCUCCCUUAUCCAAGAACUUCAGGACUUUUUUAACCCCUUCCUUUUUAUUUCUAGUUUACUUGCUUUGAUUUUGUGGAUUUGUUUGACAGGUGAAAUAUACAGGGUAAAGUGUCCAGCAUAAUAUUUUGCUCUUUUCAUCUUAUUUGUAUAUUUAUGUACCAAUUUUAUUUGCAACUAUGCAGGCUUUCAAGCGGGCACUUAUUUUCCUUAUUUGAGCUCUAGAAUCCUAAAAAAAGCCUUAAUUUUUUGUUGAAAUUCCUACAUUUUCAAAUUUUGAAAGUUUUAAUAAAUUUGACAUAAAGUAAGUGUUGGAAUUUAUUCAAUUUAGUCUUGGUAUACUUUCAGAAAAUGAAUAUGUUGAUUAAAUGUACAUCUCAGAAGACAUCUUGAUGGUUAUCAGUUAUAUUCAGCAUUGAUUGUGAGCCAUGGGAGUCCACCUGAAUUAUAUCAUGGUUUGUGCUGAAUGUCGAAUAUGGCUGUUGAUGACCACUGGUAUGAUCUUCUGAAUGGGCAAUCAGUUUUUAGGUUACCUGAGUAAACUAAGGUGACCUAUUGCAAUUGGUUUUCGUCCGUCGUAGUGCGUUAACAAUUGAACAUUUUUAACUUCUUAAUAACUACCAGUCCAAUUCUUUUCAAAUUUGGUAUGAAGCAUUAUUGGGACAAGGGGGACAUAAAUUGUAAAUUUCAGGACUCCAGCACCCUGGGGCCCUAGGGGUGGGGCAAAUACUGCCCCAAAUUGACCAAUUUUCAAAAAUCUUCUCAAGAACCACACACAUUAAGAAAAACUAAAUGCAUAGUGAUGUAGAGCAGGAAGACCUUUACCAAACUUGUAAGUUUCAUGAUCCCCGGAGUAGGGGUUCUGACCCCAGGGCAGGGUCUAACUUGUUAUAUAGUGUUUAUGUGUAAAACACUUAAAUACCAUUUUAUUUCGUGCUUUUGAUACUAAACUGAAAUUAAAUGGAUAGAGCAGGUAGUCUUUUACCAAAAUUGUAAAUUUAAUUUUCCCCAGAGUAAGGGUUUGACCCCAGGGUGGGGUCAAACUUAGUAUAUACAUAUUUAUGUGUAAGUUUGCUGAUACUGUAUAAAAUCUAAAUGCAUACUUAGGAAUAGCAGAAAAGGAUGUACAAAAAAUGGUGAAUUUCACAACCCAGGGUUAUGACUUCUCUCACUAUUAAAACAUAUCAAUGUGCUAUUGAUUUUAUAGCCUAUCAAAUGCAUUUAUCAUGAUUGGUUCUAAAUUCAUAAAAGUAUUAUUACCAAUUCAGUAGUCAUAGCUGAUAAAUUCUUGCAUACUUUAUGUUAGAACUUACUUCUUCAAGAUCAGUGUGCAAUAUUCUUACUUUUGCUUUUUGUGAAAUCAUUGAGUGUGCAAUUUUUCUGUCAUUUUUUGUAAAUAAUUUAAAUGUACUAUCUAUUCUUUUUUAUUUUUUUGUGAUAAAAUGAAAAUAAAAAGUUUUUGGUGUCCUUUU